rnacentral:lncRNA from 1 species
AUUAUAAACCAGGCUCCAUUUUCUUUCUAGAUAUGUCUUAUACCAAGUUAAGAAUCUGGCAGUUGUUAUCAAAUAGUCCGUUUCUAUGUAUGUUCGUUUGUUUUUGUAGCAGUUCAGUGUUUCUGUUGUUCCGUUGGUUUCCUCUAAAGAUUAUAUGUUUCCCCCGGUUUUGGUUUGUAAACUGGAUUUGUUUCAGUUCAAUCGAUUUAUGACGAUAAGCAGCGGUAUACCAAUCUAAUUCAUUUAUUCAGUAUAAAAAGUACAAAAGCACUGGCUACUGAGUUUGAACUACCCUCUAAGACUAGCAGUUCACCAGCAACAUUGUCAGUCGAGCGCUAGAUUAAAAACAA